CCUGGUCUUGGGUUGGGGCUGCCCCCGCUUACUGCCCCCUGCCCAGGCUGGUGUGCACCCCCUCUGGCUGCUUCAGCGCCUUCUCUCUCUCCUUGGCAGGACAGGCGCAGACAUGUUACCAGGUGUUA
rfam:Macaca mulatta 1099214602490, whole genome shotgun sequence.